rnacentral:rRNA from 1 species
UGGGCGUAAAGCGCGUGUAGGCGGUUUUUUAAGUCUGAUGUGAAAGCCCCGGGCUCAACCUGGGAAGUGCAUUGGAUACUGGGAGACUUGAAUACGGGAGAGGGCAGUGGAAUUCCUAGUGUAGGAGUGAAAUCCGUAGAUAUUAGGAGGAACACCGGUGGCGAAGGCGGCUGCCUGGACCGAUAUUGACGCUGAGACGCGAAAGCGUGGGGAGCAAACAGGAUUAGAUACCCUGGUAGUCCACGCCGUAAAAGAUGAGUACUAGGUGUUGCGGG